rnacentral:rRNA from 1 species
UACGAAGGGGGCUAGCGUUGUUCGGAAUUACUGGGCGUAAAGGGCGCGUAGGCGGUCCUGAUCGUCGGAUGUGAAAGGCCUGGGCUCAACCUGGGAAUGGCAUCCGAUACGGCGGGACUGGAGUGUGGGAGAGGUUGGUGGAAUUCCCAGUGUAGGGGUGAAAUUCGUAGAUAUUGGGAAGAACACCGGUGGCGAAGGCGGCCAACUGGACCACAACUGACGCUGAGGCGCGAAAGCGUGGGGAGCAAACAGG